rnacentral:rRNA from 1 species
UAAGGAAUAUUGGUCAAUGGACGCAAGUCUGAACCAGCCAUGCCGCGUGAAGGAUUAAGGCCCUCUGGGUUGUAAACUUCUUUUAUAGGGGAAGAAAUGUGACGGUUCUCCGUCACUUGACGGUACCCUGGGAAUAAGCACCGGCUAACUACGUGCCAGCAGCCGCGGUAAUACGUAGGGUGCGAGCGUUAAUCGGAAUUACUGGGCGUAAAGCGUGCGCAGGCGGCUCUGUAAGACAGAUGUGAAAUCCCCGGGCUCAACCUGGGAACUGCAUUUGUGACUGCAAGGCUAGAGUGUGUCAGAGGGAGGUGGAAUUCCGCGUGUAGCAGUGAAAUGCGUAGAGAUGCGAAGGAACACCGAUGGCGAAGGCAGCCUCCUGGGAUGACACUGACGCUCAUGCACGAAAGCGUGGGGAGCAAACA